rnacentral:rRNA from 1 species
CCGCCCGUCACACCAUGGAAGUGUAUUGCACCAGAAGCAGGUAGCCUGACCGCAAGGAGGGCGCCUACCACGGUGUGGUCCAUGACUGGGGUGAAGUCGUAACAAGGUACCC